rnacentral:rRNA from 1 species
AUACUGCACAAUGGAUGGAACUCUGAUGCAGCAACGCCGCGUGAGUGAAGAAGGUUUUCGGAUCGUAAAACUCUGUCAUUGGGGAAGAAUAAAUGACGGUACCCAAUGAGGAAGCCCCGGCUAACUACGUGCCAUCAGCAGCGGUAAUACGUAAGGGUCGAGCGUUGUCCGGAAUUAUUGGGCGUAAAGGGUACGUAGGCGGCUAAAUAACUCAGGUGUGAAAUACCAGUGCUUAACACUGGAAUUGCAUUUGAAACUGUGUAGCUUGAGUGCAGGAGAGGAAAGUGGAAUUCCUAGUGUAGCGGUGAAAUGCGUAGAGAUUAGGAGGAACACCAGUGGCGAAGGCGACUUUCUGGACUGUAACUGACGCUGAGGUACGAAAGCGUGGGUAGCGAACA